rnacentral:rRNA from 1 species
UACGAACUGUGCAAACGUUAUUCGGAAUCACUGGGCUUAAAGGGUGCGUAGGCGGCUUGUUAAGUAGGGUGUGAAAUCCCCCGGCUCAACCGAGGAAUUGCGCUCUAAACUGCAGUGCUCGAGGAACCUAGAGGUGAGCAGAACAGAUGGUGGAGCGGUGAAAUGCGUUGAUAUCAUCUGGAAUACCGGAGGCGAAGGCGGCUCACUGGGGGUUUUCUGACGCUGAGGAACGAAAGCCAGGGUAGCGAACGGG